GGAUCAGCCCAGUUGUGGGUGGGGCUAUCCCCAAGCUGGUGGUUCUGGAUUCUAUAAGAAAACAGGCUAAGAAGGACCAGUCCCUUCAUGAACUCCAGCAGGUCCUAUAAGGGGAAGAUGUUAGGGUGAGCCAGCCCAAGGUCCAGCUGUGGGCCUAGGCGGUAGCUGACCUGGUCAGGCCCUGCCACUGGGACCAUUUCCUUCAGCUGCAAUGUAAUGGCUUGCUUCAUGUUCCUGCCACUCGAAGUUUCCUGAAAUGAUGGACUGAAACCGCAGGUUGUGAGCCUAAUAAACAUUCUUCCUUAAUGUGCUUACAUCAGGCUACAUGAAACUCAACAAAGACAUACCUGUGCGAUGGUCAGAUCCUUGAAUCAGGCUACUGGAAACUCAACAAAGACAUACCCGUGGGAAGGUCAGAUCCCAAAGCCACCUCCAGGUGACAGGACAUCGAAAAGACAAAUAUCACCCGAGUGCUAUUGAAAGCAGGUGCAUGCAUCAGAUGCCCCGCCACACCUACAGAUAAUGGGAUUAAGGCAAGCAUUGCUUUAUAUUUGGUUGCACAUGCCACCUGUUCAUAGGACGUUUACUCAGUGCGCCACAGCUGAAUGACCAUAAAUGAUCUGUGCUUCCUCACUUCCUCUUGAACCGACUAGCAGUGGGAAUAUGACGCUCCCAGGAGGCAGAGAUCCAAGAGACCCUCAGGAGUUUGGUCGCAGCCUGGAAGACGGUAGGAGGACAUGUCUGCCUCCAUACCUUCCCAAGUCUAUAUUUCCAAGGAAAGUGAAGGCAAUAGGGGUUCUCCAGUACUGACUGACAGACAUUCUCAGCAUGAGGAAAGACUGUUAGACCACAGAUGUGUGGCCUUCAGCUUGCUUCUCAGACUUUCUUCUCCUACUCUACUUUCUCCCUUGCCAAUUUAAGACAAGAUCCCUUUUCUCUAUGCAACAGGAGAGCAGGGUGAACUAAUGCCUGAGACAUCAGAUGGAGCUAGAAACUCAGAGUGGGUGGCCGUGGCUUUGAGGCUCCUAGACAUGAGAAAGGGUCAAACGAAGGGAAGAACUGUCAGGAAGAGAGAGAGGACUUAAAACAUGUCCUUUCCAGGAAAAUAACAUGAUCUGUCUUUGGAUAGCAUUGAAUUUAUAGUUUUAGAGUAUUGUUUUGUAGCUGUAUUUUGAUAUUAAACAUAUAAGCAAU